rnacentral:lncRNA from 1 species
AGCAGCAUGAAAGGCUUAUUUUUUCCAGAACAUAGUUUAAUAGACUUAAUAAGUUUAAACGACCCAUAAAUCUGGUGCUUUAUUCUGUCUUUUAUCUGCUGGGUCAUUAAAAUCUAUAGACUUUAGUGUCCUAUCUUGUCAUGUAUUAGUGACGUAUGGAAUCAUUUGGAGUCAAUGGGAAGAUUAAUAGCCAAAAAUGUUAGAAGAUCAUGCCUGUUUAGACCUCUAUGUUGUACGGACCAGCAGGUUUGUAAUGAUGUUGUCACUGUUCCUUGUUCUCAACUGUUGUAUUAAGCAAGUACUACCAUGGGGAUGUGGGGUGGGACUAGUCCAAAUGUUGUAGUUACUAGUUACUAGAGUUAGCAAGCAGAGGAAUUGGUAAUGGUGAUGCGUUCUCAACUUCUUAUGUGUGCUUGUCGUUGGAUCGUCCAUCAGUUUUUAGACGUACAAAACAUAUCACCUCAUUGACGUCCAUUGCUGCGAGUACAGUACAGUGGUCGGCCGGUUCCAAGUUUACAAACAGCAAGGAGUACUAGUGAGUAGGUGACAUUAGCAGUACAAACCCUUAAACCUGCAACUAAGCACGACAGAGAGUAGGGGCGGAGCUCAGGCCCGUCCAUCUCGGUUAGGUGGAAGAAAUGGCCGGCAUAUGUGUUUCUUUCAUGCUUUACUGCAUCCUGCAUUUUUAUUUUGUUGCACUGGCACGACUGCCUGGCACUGGCACCCCGCGUACUGAUCUGAUGCUGUAAUAGCAAUUAGCAUGCGUUCAGAUUAGUUAGGAUAGGGAGCUGAGCUCGCUGCCAACAAGGUCAAUACUAGCAUCCAUUUUUUUGCAAACUAGGACACAAUCAGGUGAAAAGCUUGAGCUGCAUUCUUUGUCUAUUUAACUUUACUAGUUCUGUUUGUUUCAUGGUAUGCUGUUAUUUACAAGUAAGC